rnacentral:lncRNA from 1 species
GACGCUUAGUCACACCUGGGUAAAUGGAGCUGCCCCAGGGGGCCUACAGCAGGAAGCUACAGCUGCAUCUCUCCUGGCCUCUCCACACCCACUCCAGGAGCUGUCCAUCUUGAAUGCAGCAGGCUUGAAUUUGUGCAAAGAAACAGGAUCGAAUUUGGACCAAUCAGCAGCCUCAAACCUGGACCAAUCAGCAGCCUUGGAUUUGGAUCAAUCUCAGAUGACUCUGCUCCCUCUGCUGCUCCAUAUAUUCAAAGCUCCCCUCCCUAGUCUGCGAGAGUUUUCCCUUGUGUACUGUGCACAGGCCUAGUCCAAGCAGAGCCUUGCUCUGGUUGUCUUGUAAUCUGCUCAUGAUUUCUUUCUUGGGUAGUGUACUCAGAAGGUCCUGUAAAUCUACUCAGUAGUGUGGGCAGAGUGGAUCGCUUUAAAAAAGAGCUAUAAACACUAGGGGUCCUGACCCUGAAGAGUUCAGAGACUCAUGGCAGAACUCAACAAAGAUUGGUGAGGAUCUGUGCCAGAGACCAGCAGUGACCACCACCAUGGACCAUGGGUAACUGGUGAUGGCAUCUAUGGCAGUGGAGACCAGCAGAUUCCAGCUAAUAAGGACUCUGGAUAACAGCCAAGAGUUGACUGAAGCUGCCAAGGAGCUAAUGGGGGUGGCAGAGAGCCCAAACACUGAGGUUUAAAGGUCUCUGACACAGCCUAGAGUCUCUAUGCUGCACUCUGCUGAUUCACAAUUUCCAUCCAAAUGGAGCAAAAGAACCCUGAGGACCACAGCAUCACCCCAGUGUCUGCCUCUGCUUUCCCUGUGUCCAGAUUCCCCUUGUGUUAUGGGGACACUUGUCAUGGACUGGGGCCCACCCUAAUCCAGAAUAACUUCAUCUUAACUCAUACAUCUGCAAAGAACCUGUUUCCAAGUAAGGUCAUAUUGACCAGAGGAAGGGAUUAAUUAAAUGCAUCUUUUGGGGGGACACAAGUUGACUCAACAGGUGCCGUAAG